ACAUGACACAGUCAUCGUUUUGCUCGUGUUUACUCAGCAUUCGGCCAUUAAACUUUCAAAUGUUUUGCCAACCAGUAAGUCACAUGACUGAUUUCUGACGUCACGGCGAAAAUCCCUAUUUAUAGAAUAUUAUAAUUAUGUAUGUCAGUUGUAUAUCGUAUGUAGUUAUGGUUAUAACCUUAAGCAACUGAUAUCAGAUUAAGGGCAUACACAACAGUUUUUUCCUACAAUGAGAUUUUCUUUAAAAUUACACCACGUAUCAUUGAAGAUAUGAACAUUAGAUAUAUGCAAAGAAAAUUACCUCAUAAUGCGCGAUUUACAGAGCUAUGGGGCCGCCAUAAGGGGGUGUUUUUGAAAAUACAUGAAAAACAGUUUAAUCAUGUUAAUGUUAAAUAAAAACUUAAAUUUCUUGCAAAGUAAAAGUCAGAACUGCCUUGUUUGAGGUUCAUUGUUGAGAGCAUUCAUUAAAUUUAUUUUCUUGUAAAAAAAUCAUUGUGAACUGAAUUUCCAAUUUUUAUGGGGUAAAAUUGCAGUUUUUAUCAUUAUUUAUACCCUUUUAUACAAUACAUAAUCAUGAUAAUGGCAAAUUAAAAUUUUUCCUCAUGAUGACAAUUUGUUCAUAAUUUCAUAUGCUGUAAAUGAUAAUACACGUAUAUUUAUGCUCUUUUCAAAACAUGGGGUCAAUGCGCUUGUUGUUUUUUUUAGAUAUUUGGCAUUAUUUAACACUUUUUUCAUCUUAUUUUUGCCCAUGCCAAUGAAUGGCGCGUUAUUUGGCGGAUGGCAGCAUUGCUAUUUACAUACAAUUAUGAUGUACGUUUCCUGCUUUUAUUAAAUCACUGUGACAUUAAAAAUGAACUAUGAUGUUUACCUAGAUUGUUACGCGCUGGCGUUUGUUUACAUGCCUGUUAUGGAUUUGAUUGUCCAUAUAUUGUGACGCCAUGGCCUUAGUGAUAGCAAAACAGAGUUAUUUCCCCCUGUAACUAUUGUGUAUGCCUUUAAGUGGACUCAUCUGUACUUUUUCAGUUAAAAGUUGAAAGUCAAGGCAUUUUGCAAAAGAAAGUAAAACGCCUGAAGCCUGAGGAAGAUGCCAAAUGGUGGUGUCAGGCUGGUCUUGACAAAGAUGGGUUCAAAGUAAAAUAUAUAUCUGACUAUAAAGAACAAAGGAAAAAGUAUGUGUAUUGAUGCUUCAACUCAAGAUCAUAUAUGCCAGUAUGUCAAUGAUGGGAACAAGAUGGCUAAUGCUGUCAUGAAACUUUUGACUUUUGAGAGGCCUU